rnacentral:lncRNA from 1 species
GAAGGCUGAGGCUGGGCUGUUAAGGAUGGAGCCAGGGGAUAAUGAAUACAAUACAGGUGCUGGGGUUUAGCUCGGGUUAUGAUGAGGUGUCAGAAAAGCACAUUACCAUGGCAGGGGGUUCUCUCCCCUUCUUUCUCUCUGGAACACACAGGCACACACAGAUACACACAGAUAUACGCACAGACAUGCCGGAACGUAGACACACACACACACACACACACACACACACACACACACACACACACACACACACACACACGCACACAGAUAGACGCAGACAUGCAUGAACGAAGGCGUACACACACACACACAGCCAAGCAUGUUCUCUUUCACACACACACUCUCUCUCUUCUCACUCUCUCAGCAAAAUAAUGUUGAAGUAAUACGGAGCAGUGCAUUGCAGAGGUGCAUGAUUUGUAAUACAUUUAGACAGUCAUUUUGUCAAUUGGAAUUGGUUGUGAUUCAUCAAUUCUGUGAAAUAUUACAGUAUGUCAUUUUGCCUUCAUGUACAAUUAAGAAUUUUCUCUUUAAAACGAGGACUAUAAUAUCUUAAUAUGUCCCAGCUACUUGCAUUUCUGGCAAUCAAUGUAGCAAAAGUAGCUCAUCCAUCACUACGUUUCAGACGAUACAGGAUAGCUAUGGUGUGGUGCAUGUUAUGAUGGCUGCAUUACUAGCCAGCAUCCUCUUAGCUUGUCUUUGUUGUGUUGAGGAUGGGGUUGUUUAACAUGAUGUUUCUGUCUUUGUUGUGUUGAGGAUGGGGUUGUUUAACAUGAUGUAUCUGUCUUUGUUGUGUUGAGGAUGGGGUUGUUUAACAUGAUGUAUCUGUCUUUGUUGUGUUGAGGAUGGGGUUGUUUAACAUGAUGUUUCUGUCUUUGUUGUGUUGAGGAUGGGGUUGUUUAACAAGCUGUGUCUGUCUUUGUUGUGUUGAGGAUGGAGGUUGUUUAACAUGAUGUUUCUGUCUUUGUUGUGUUGAGGAUGGGGGUUGUUUAACAUGAUGUUUCUGUCUUUGUUGUGUUGAGGAUGGAGGUUGUUUAACAUGAUGUUUCUGUCUUUGUUGUGUUGAGGAUGGGGGUUGUUUAACAUGAUGUUUCUGUCUUUGUUGUGUUGAGGAUGGGGUUGUUUUACAUGAUGUAUCUUUCUUUGUUGUGUUGAGGAUGGGGUUGUUUAACAUGAUGUUUCUGUCUUUGUUGUGUUGAGGUUGGGGUUGUUUAACAAGCUGUUUCUGUCUUUGUUGUGUUGAGGAUGGGGUUGUUUAACAUUAUGUUUCUGUCUUUGUUGUGUUGAGGAUGGAGGUUGUUUAACAUGAUGUGUCUGUCUUUGUUGUGUUGAGGAUGGGGUUGUUUUACAUGAUGUAUCUUUCUUUGUUGUGUUGAGGAUGGGGUUGUUUAACAUGAUGUUUCUGUCUUUGUUGUGUUGAGGUUGGGGUUGUUUAACAAGCUGUUUCUGUCUUUGUUGUGUUGAGGAUGGGGUUGUUUAACAUUAUGUUUCUGUCUUUGUUGUGUUGAGGAUGGAGGUUGUUUAACAAGCUGUUUCUGUUUUUGUUGUGUUGAGGAUGGAGGUUGUUUAACAUGCUGUUUCUGUCUUUGUUGUGUUGAGGAUGGGGUUGUUUAACAUGAUGUUUCUGUCUUUGUUGUGUUGAGGAUGGGGUUGUUUAACAUGAUGUUUCUGUCUUUGUUGUGUUGAGUAUGGAGGUUGUUUAACAUGAUGUUUCUGUCUUUGUUGUGUU